rnacentral:rRNA from 1 species
UUAAGGUAGGAAGGGCGCACGGUGGAUGCCUAGGCACUAGGAGCCGAAGAAGGACGGGACGAACACCGAAAUGCCUCGGGGAGCGGUAAGUACGCGACGAUCCGGGGAUCUCCGAAUGGGGCAACCCACCGCCCGUCAUGGGGCGGUAUCCGCACCUGAAUCCAUAGGGUGUGAGAAGGCAGACCAGGGGAACUGAAACAUCUCAGUACCCUGAGGAAAAGAAAACAAGAGUGAUUCCCUCAGUAGUGGCGAGCGAACGGGGAAGAGCCCAAACCGAUGGGGGAACCCAUCGGGGUAGAAGGACCUCGAGAGAAGGGAAGGAAGGUUUGUAGGCGAAGCGAUCUGGAACGAUCCGGCGGAGGAGGUAAGACCCCUGUAGCCGAAACGGACCUGAACCCGCGAGGGAUCCUGAGUACCACGGGGCACGAGGAAUCCCGUGGGAAGCAGGGAGGACCCCCUCCCAAGGCUAAAUACUCCCUAGUGACCGAUAGCGAAGCAGUACCGUGAGGGAAAGGUGAAAAGCACCCCGGGAGGGGAGUGAAAGAGAACCUGAAACCGUGUGCCUACAAGCAGUCGGAGGGCGUUUAUCCACCCCAAAAAGUGUUACUUUUUGGGGGUCCUGGAAAGCCUGACGGCGUGCCUUUUGUAGAAUGAACCGGCGAGUUACGUUUGCAUGCGAGGUUAAGCGGGGAACGCGGAGCCGGAGCGAAAGCGAGUCUGAAAGAUCCGGGCCCCGCGAAAGUGCUUGCACUUUUGCGGGUGAAGGUAGGGCGGGAAGUAUGCAGGCGUAGACCCGAAACCGUGUGAUCUACCCAUGUCCAGGGUGAAGGCGGGGUAACACCCGCUGGAGGCCCGAACCCACUCCCGUUGAAAAGGUAGGGGAUGAGGUGUGGGUAGGGGAGAAAUUCCAAUCGAACACGGAGAUAGCUGGUUCUCCCCGAAAUAGCUUUAGGGCUAGCCUCAAGGGAAGAAAGCCGGAGGUAGAGCACUGAUCGGGCUAGGGGUCCACCUCGGAUUACCGAACCCAGUCAAACUGCGAAUGCCGGACUUUUGGUUCUUGGGAGUCAGACCACGAAUGCUAAGAUCCGUGGUCAAGAGGGAAACAGCCCAGACCAUCGGCUAAGGUCCCGAAGUACGUGCUAAGUGGGAAACGAUGUGGCGUUGCGAAGACAACCAGGAUGUUGGCUUAGAAGCAGCCAUCAUUGAAAGAGUGCGUAAUAGCUCACUGGUCGAGUGACGCUGCGCGGAAAAUGUAACGGGGCUCAAGCACGGCACCGAAGCCAUGGAUGCCGGGAGGCAUGGUAGGGGAGCGUUCUUAUCGCAGGGAAGCAGGACCGGGAGGACCUGUGGAGGGAUAAGAAGUGAGAAUGCCGGUGUGAGUAACGAAAAGAUCGGUGAGAAUCCGAUCCGCCGAAAGCCUAAGGGUUCCUGAGGAAGGUUCGUCCGCUCAGGGUAAGUCGGGACCUAAGGCGAGGCCGAAAGGCGUAGUCGAUGGAGAACAGGUGGAAAAUCCUGUACCACCGAUUCCCGAUUGAGCGAAGGGGGGACGCAGGAGGAUAGGAAGAGCGCGCGGCUGGAAGAGCGCGUCCAAGCAGUGAGGGAGGCAAAGAGGGAAAUCCGUUUGCCGGAUCCUGGGCUGUGAUGGGGAGGGAAGUAAGAGUACCGAAGCUUCCGAAUUCAGACUGCCAAGAAAAGCCUCUAGCGAGGGGAAAGGUGCCCGUACCGGAAACCGACACAGGUAGGCGAGGAGAGAAUCCUAAGGCGCGCGAGAGAACUCUUGCCAAGGAACUCGGCAAAAUGACCCCGUAACUUCGGGAGAAGGGGUGCCUGCGGGAGCAGGCCGCAGAGAAGAGGCCCAAGCGACUGUUUAGCAAAAACACAGGUCUCUGCGAAGCCGGAAGGCGAAGUAUAGGGGCUGACGCCUGCCCGGUGCUGGAAGGUUAAGGGGAAGGGUGAAAGCUCAGAACCGAAGCCCCAGUAAACGGCGGCCGUAACUAUAACGGUCCUAAGGUAGCGAAAUUCCUUGUCGGGUAAGUUCCGACCCGCACGAAAGGCGUAACGACUUGGGCGCUGUCUCGGCAAGAGACUCGGUGAAAUCGUAAUACCUGUGAAGAUGCAGGUUACCCGCGACUAGACGGAAAGACCCCAUGGAGCUUUACUGCAGCCUGAUAUUGGACCUUGGUAUGUUCUGUACAGGAUAGGUAGGAGCCUAAGAAGCCGGUCCGCCAGGAUCGGUGGAGGCGGCGGUGGGAUACUACCCUGAAGAUAGCGGGGUUCUAACCUACGCCCCUAAGGCGGGGUGGGGGAGCGUGUCAGGUGGGCAGUUUGACUGGGGCGGUCGCCUCCUAAAGCGUAGCGGAGGCGCCCAAAGGUUCCCUCAGCGCGGAUGGAAAUCGCGCGGCGAGUGCAAAGGCAAAAGGGAGCUUGACUGCGAGAGGGACGUCUCGAGCAGGGACGAAAGUCGGGCUUAGUGAUCCGGUGGUACCGAGAGGAAGGGCCAUCGCUCAACGGAUAAAAGCUACCCUGGGGAUAACAGGCUUAUCUCCCCCAAGAGUCCACAUCGACGGGGAGGUUUGGCACCUCGAUGUCGGCUCAUCGCAUCCUGGGGCUGUAGUCGGUCCCAAGGGUUGGGCUGUUCGCCCAUUAAAGCGGUACGCGAGCUGGGUUCAGAACGUCGUGAGACAGUUCGGUCCCUAUCUGUCGCGGGCGUAGGAAAUUUGAGAGGAGCUGUCCUUAGUACGAGAGGACCGGGAUGGACGUACCGCUGGUGAACCAGUUGUGCCGCCAGGCGCAUCGCUGGGUAGCUAAGUACGGAAGGGAUAAGCGCUGAAAGCAUCUAAGCGUGAAGCCCCCCUCAAGAUGAGAUUUCCGGUAAGACCCCUUGAAGAAGACGAGGUAGAUCGGUCCGGGGUGGAAGUGCAGCAAUGCAUGGAGCUGACGGAUACGAAUCGGUCGACCCCUUAACCAU